AUUGAACGCUGGCGGCAGGCCUAACACAUGCAAGUCGAGCGAGCGGCGGACGGGUGAGUAAUGUCUGGGAAACUGCCUGAUGGAGGGGGAUAACUACUGGAAACGGUAGCUAAUACCGCAUACCAUCAGAUGUGCCCAGAUGGGAUUAGCUCGUAGGUGGUGGAACGGCUCACCUAGGCGACGAUCCCUAGCUGGUCUGAGAGGAUGACCAGCCACACUGGAACUGCUACGCGGUCCAGACUCCUACGGGAGGCAGCAGUGGGGAAUAUUGCACAAUGGGCGCAAGCCUGAUGCAGCAAUGCCGAGUGUGGGAAGAAGGCCUUCGGGUUGUAAAGCACUUUCAGCGGGGAGGCGUUACCCGCAGAAGAAGCACCGGCUAACUCCGUGCCAGCAGCCGCGGUAAUUC
rnacentral:rRNA from 1 species